AGGACGAACGCUGGCGGCGUGCUUAACACAUGCAAAGUCGAGCGGAAAGGCCCUUCGGGUACUCGAGCGGCGCACGGGUGCGUAACGCGUGGGAAUCUGCCCUUGGGUUCGGAAUAACAGCGAGAAAUUGCUGCUAAUACCGGAUAAUGACGUAAGUCCAAAGAUUUAUCGCCCAAGGAUGAGCCCGCGUAGGAUUAGCUAGUUGGUGUGGUAAAAGCGCACCAAGGCGACGAUCCUUAGCUGGUCUGAGAGGAUGAUCAGCCACACUGGGACUGAGACACGGCCCAGACUCCUACGGGAGGCAGCAGUGGGGAAUAUUGGACAAUGGGCGAAAGCCUGAUCCAGCAAUGCCGCGUGAGUGAUGAAGGCCUUAGGUUGUAAAGCUCUUUUACCCGGGAUGAUAAUGACAGUACCGGAGAAUAAGCUCCGGCUAACUCCGUGCCAGCAGCCGC
rnacentral:rRNA from 1 species